AGAAUCAACGCUGGCGGCGUGCCUAACACAUGCAAGUCGAACGAGAAAGUGGAGCAAUCCAUGAGUAAAGUGGCGCACGGGUGAGUAACACGUGACUAACCUACCCUUGAGUGGGGGAUAACCUAGAGAAAUCUGGGCUAAUACCGCAUAAUACCUUCGGGUCAAAGGAGCAAUUCGCUUAAGGAGGGGGUCGCGGCCGAUUAGUUAGUUGGUGGGGUAAUGGCCCACCAAGACUAUGAUCGGUAUCCGGCCUGAGAGGGCGCACGGACACACUGGAACUGAAACACGGUCCAGACUCCUACGGGAGGCAGCAGUGGGAAUUUUGCGCAAUGGGGGAAACCCUGACGCAGCAACGCCGCGUGGAGGAUGAAGUCCCUUGGGACGUAAACUCCUUUCGAUCGGGACGAUAAUGACGGUACCGAGAGAAGAAGCCCCGGCUAACUUCGCGCCAGCAGCCGC
rnacentral:rRNA from 1 species